GCAACUGACAGCCUAAAUGUAGCAAAAGAAAGAGAGAGAUAGAAAGAAGAGACAUAUUAUAGAUCACUUGAGUUUCUUCAUUGUGCAAUCAUAACACAACGCCCAAAGGUGACGAUACAAAAUUGUGCUCGCUGACGUGGAAUAAUGAUCGAGCAUCAAUGAAACUGCUAGAAAUCCAAGCAGGCAGCAACAACUUUUGAGGCCAAUAAACAAGCCCCAGCAUCCAAAAUUUAUGUAUUGCAGCACUUGGCACGGAUGGUAGGGUCCAGCAUUAAUCUGGGGAUCAUUGCUAAUGGGGAACUGAUAAAAAAAAAGCUGUGCCUCUCUGAACUGUUAACAAGAUUAUCAGGCUACUGAAGAAGCUGGAGCUGUUGGGAGCAAAAUCAAGUGGUUAUGUUAUACUAGGGCGUCGAAAGUUGCGCCGUGAUGUUCGUUCGCGAAGGUUUAUUUAACUGAUCUUGAAUUGCUUGGUCAUCCGCUAGACGGCAUGUAGAAGAAGGAUCCAAUCAGGCGGCUGGCUAAUUCAGAAGAAAAUAGAGAGUGACCAUGUUCAGUGUUGCCUACAGGUCAUGGGUCUUCAGAAACUUUCUUUUCCCAAAAGAAAA